GCAGUGGUGGAUCAAUGGUAGAAUUCUUGCCUUCCAAGUGGGAGACCCAGGUUCAAGUUCUGGCCAAUUCA
rnacentral:tRNA from 1 species